rnacentral:rRNA from 2 species
AUCAUUAACUGAAUCCAUAGGUUAAUGAGGCGAACCGGGGGAACUGAAACAUCUAAGUACCCCGAGGAAAAGAAAUCAACCGAGAUUCCCCCAGUAGCGGCGAGCGAACGGGGAGGAGCCCAGAGCCUGAAUCAGUGUGUGUGUUAGUGGAAGCGUCUGGAAAGGCGCGCGAUACAGGGUGACAGCCCCGUACACAAAAAUGCACAUAUUGUGAGCUCGAUGAGUAGGGCGGGACACGUGGUAUCCUGUCUGAAUAUGGGGGGACCAUCCUCCAAGGCUAAAUACUCCUGACUGACCGAUAGUGAACCAGUACCGUGAGGGAAAGGCGAAAAGAACCCCGGCGAGGGGAGUGAAAAAGAACCUGAAACCGUGUACGUACAAGCAGUGGGAGCCUCUUAAUGGGGUGACUGCGUACCUUUUGUAUAAUGGGUCAGCGACUUAUAUUCUGUAGCAAGGUUAACCGAAUAGGGGAGCCGAAGGGAAACCGAGUCUUAACUGGGCGUUAAGUUGCAGGGUAUAGACCCGAAACCCGGUGAUCUAGCCAUGGGCAGGUUGAAGGUUGGGUAACACUAACUGGAGGACCGAACCGACUAAUGUUGAAAAAUUAGCGGAUGACUUGUGGCUGGGGGUGAAAGGCCAAUCAAACCGGGAGAUAGCUGGUUCUCCCCGAAAGCUAUUUAGGUAGCGCCUCGUGAAUUCAUCUCCGGGGGUAGAGCACUGUUUCGGCAAGGGGGUCAUCCCGACUUACCAACCCGAUGCAAACUGCGAAUACCGGAGAAUGUUAUCACGGGAGACACACGGCGGGUGCUAACGUCCGUCGUGAAGAGGGAAACAACCCAGACCGCCAGCUAAGGUCCCAAAGUCAUGGUUAAGUGGGAAACGAUGUGGGAAGGCCCAGACAGCCAGGAUGUUGGCUUAGAAGCAGCCAUCAUUUAAAGAAAGCGUAAUAGCUCACUGGUCGAGUCGGCCUGCGCGGAAGAUGUAACGGGGCUAAACCAUGCACCGAAGCUGCGGCAGCGACACUAUGUGUUGUUGGGUAGGGGAGCG